CAGAAAUCAAAUUUAGUUCUAUCAAAUCUCGUCAAGUUAUACGCCAAAAGACUGAAAUCUAUGGUAAAUUCAAAACAAGGGAAGUCUAUUUUACCAGACUUAAUCAAACACUUAAAAUAGUCAACCAAGUUGAACGGUAAAAAUUGUAAACAACUGUUACAUUCCUGACUUUCCCUAAAAAAAUAUUAAAUAAUUAUAAUUAAACAAAGUACAUUUGUUGUGGUUGACCCAUUACAU
rnacentral:lncRNA from 1 species